GAAUGAUUUUGUUGUUUAAAAUUAAUAAUCAAGAUCAUCACAACAAUUGUUAUCUUUAACUAGUUGUCUUAUUGUUAGUACCAAUACAACACCAGUGUGGACCCAAGGAAGGAAUAACACGACGAAGAGUCGUGCGAACUAAACGAAAAAGAAGAAGAUGAAGAAGAAGAAGAAGAAGAAGAAGUAGAGGAUGAGAAAGAAAGAAAGAAGAAGAAGAAAAUAAGGAGAAGAAAAUAAGGAGAAGAUCGAGCAACAAGAUCUCACAAGAUACAUACCAGAAAUAUUUUAUAAUACAACAUUUGGGUCAAAGUUUCAAGAAUAUAACAAGAUACAUACCAGAAAUAUUUUAUAAUACAACAUUUGGGUCAAAGUUUCAAGAAUAUAACAAGAUACAUACCAGAAAUAUUUUAUAAUACAACAUUUGGGUCAAAGUUUCAAGAAUAUAACAAAUAUUAUACAGCAACCCUGAGGUGGUUCAUGAUUGGGGAAGUAAAAGAUAUAAAAAAAAAAGAGAGAAAAUGAAGAAGAAGAGAGAGGCACGUCUUUCUCGUGUAAUUUUCAUCGAGUGGGUGGAAACCCAUUAUUUCGCAUUACGGGAUCCUUAUGGACCUUUCUCUCUCUUUCUCU